AGAGUUUGAUCCUGGCUCAGGACGAACGCUGGCGGCGUGCCUAACACAUGCAAGUCGAGCGAAGUUUUUAAAGUGAAUCCCUUCGGGGUGAAACUUUAAUUAUCUUAGCGGCGGACGGGUGAGUAACGCGUGAGAAACCUGCCUUUCACAAAGGGAUAGCCUCGGGAAACUGGGAUUAAUACCUUAUGACACUCCUACUUCACAUGAAGAAGAAGUUAAAGCGUAAAGCGGUGAAAGAUGGUCUCGCGUCCCAUUAGCUAGUUGGUGAGAUAAAAGCUCACCAAGGCGACGAUGGGUAGCCGGCCUGAGAGGGUGAACGGCCACACUGGAACUGAGACACGGUCCAGACUCCUACGGGAGGCAGCAGUGGGGAAUAUUGCACAAUGGAGGAAACUCUGAUGCAGCGACGCCGCGUGAACGAUGAAGGCUUUCGGGUCGUAAAGUUCUGUCCUAGGGGACGAUAAUGACGGUACCCUAGGAGGAAGCCCCGGCUAANUACGUGCCAGCCGCCGCGGUAAUUC
rnacentral:rRNA from 1 species